rnacentral:rRNA from 1 species
UACGAAGGGGGCUAGCGUUGCUCGGAAUGACUGGGCGUAAAGGGCGCGUAGGCGGAUGGCACAGUCAGAUGUGAAAUUCCCGGGCUUAACCUGGGGGCUGCAUUUGAUACGUGUUGUCUAGAGUGAGGAAGAGGGUUGUGGAAUUCCUAGUGUAGAGGUGAAAUUCGUAGAUAUUGGGAAGAACACCGGUGGCGAAGGCGGCAACCUGGUCCUUGACUGACGCUGAGGCGCGAAAGCGUGGGGAGCAAACAGG